CCUACGGGUGGCAGCAAUGAGGAAUAUUGGUCAAUGGGCGCGAGCCUGAACCAGCCAAGUCGCGUGAGGGAAGACGGUCCUAUGGAUUGUAAACCUCUUUUGUCGGGGAGCAAAAGACGCCACGCGUGGCGUUCCGAGAGUACCCGAAGAAAAAGCAUCGGCUAACUCCGUGCCAGCAGCCGCGGUAAUCCGGAGGAUGCGAGCGUUAUCCGGAUUGAUUGGGUUUAAAGGGUGCGCAGGCGGAAGAUCAAGACAGCGGUAAAAUUGAGACGCUCCCCCUCUUCGAGCCGUUGAAACUGGCUUUCUUGAGUGAGCGAGAAGUAUGCGGCAUGCGUGGUGUAGCGGUGAAAUGCAUAGAUAUCACGCAGAACUCCGAUUGCGAAGGCAGCAUACCGGCGCUCAACUGACGCUCAUGCACGACAGUGUGGGUAUCGAACAGGAUUAGCUACCCUGGUAGUC
rnacentral:rRNA from 1 species